UAGGGAAUAUUGGUAAUGGGCGAAAGCCUGAACUAGCAACGCCGCGUGUGCGAAGAAGGCCUUCGGGUUGUAAAGCACUUUUUGAGAGGAUGAGGAAGGACGGUACCCUCAGAAUAAGUCUCGGCUAACUACGUGCCAGCAGCCGCGGUAACACGUAGGAGGCGAACGUUAUCCGGAUUUACUGGGCGUAAAGCGCGUGUAGGUGGUUUGGUAAGUAGGGCGUGAAAGCUCCUGGCUCAACUGGGAGAGGCCGUUCUAAACUGCCGAACUAGAGGAUGGUAGAGGGAGGUGGAAUUCCGGGUGUAGCGGUGGAAUGCGCAGAUAUCCGGAGGAACACCAGUGGCGUAAGCGGCCUCCUGGACCAUUCCUGACACUCAGACGCGAAAGCUAGGGUAGCAAACGG
rnacentral:rRNA from 1 species